GGGCCCGUGAGGUAGUCCGGAAUCCUGCUGGGCUUCGGACCCAGAUACGGGGGUUCAAAUCCCCCCGGGCCCGCCA
rnacentral:tRNA from 2 species